AGAGUUUGAUCCUGGCUCAGGACGAACGCUGGCGGCGUGCUUAACACAUGCAAGUCGAGCGGAAAGGCCCUUUCGGGGGUACUCGAGCGGCGAACGGGUGAGUAACACGUGAGUAAUCUGCCCUUGGCUUUGGGAUAACUACCGGAAACGGUGGCUAAUACCGGAUAUGACCAUGCUCGGCAUCGGGUGUGGUGGAAAGUUUUUCGGCCAGGGAUGUGCUCGCGGCCUAUCAGCUUGUUGGUGGGGUAAUGGCCUACCAAGGCUUCGACGGGUAGCCGGCCUGAGAGGGUGACCGGCCACACUGGGACUGAGACACGGCCCAGACUCCUACGGGAGGCAGCAGUGGGGAAUAUUGGACAAUGGGCGGAAGCCUGAUCCAGCAACGCCGCGUGAGGGAUGACGGCCUUCGGGUUGUAAACCUCUUUCAGUACCGACGAAGCGCCGAUGAUGGUGGUGACGGUAGGUACAGAAGAAGCACCGGCCAACUACGUG
rnacentral:rRNA from 1 species